ACGAAGGCAGCAGUGGGGGAUAUUGCACAAUGGGGGAAACCCUGAUGCAGCGACGCCGCGUGAGCGAAGAAGUAUUUCGGUAUGUAAAGCUCUAUCAGCAGGGAAGAAAAUGACGGUACCUGACUAAGAAGCCCCGGCUAACUACGUGCCAGCAGCCGCGGUAAUACGUAGGGGGCAAGCGUUAUCCGGAUUUACUGGGUGUAAAGGGAGCGUAGACGGCGAGGCAAGUCUGAUGUGAAAGCUCGGGGCUCAACCCCGGAACUGCAUUGGAAACUGUUUUGCUAGAGUGUCGGAGAGGUAAGCGGAAUUCCUAGUGUAGCGGUGAAAUGCGUAGAUAUUAGGAGGAACACCAGUGGCGAAGGCGGCUUACUGGACGAUAACUGACGUUGAGGCUCGAAAGCGUGGGGAGCAAACAGGAUUAGAUACCCUGGUA
rnacentral:rRNA from 1 species